AACGAACGUUAGCGGCGCGCCUAACACAUGCAAGUCGAGCGAGAAAGGGCUUCGGCCCCGGUAAAGCGGCGCACGGGUGAGUAACACGUGGAUAACCUACCCCUUGGUGGUGGAUAACCUUCCGAAAGGAGGGCUAAUACAGCGUAAGACCACGACUUCGAAAGAGGUUGGGGUAAAAGUGGGCCUCUGUACACAAGCUCACGCCAGGGGAUGGGUCCGCGGCCCAUCAGCUAGUUGGUAGGGUAACGGCCUACCAAGGCGAAGACGGGUAGCUGGUCUGAGAGGAUGAUCAGCCACACUGGAACUGAGACACGGUCCAGACUCCUACGGGAGGCAGCAUGGGGAAUCUUGCGCAAUGG
rnacentral:rRNA from 1 species